rnacentral:rRNA from 1 species
UACGAAGGGGGCUAGCGUUGUUCGGAAUUACUGGGCGUAAAGGGCGCGUAGGCGGCGUGUCAAGUCAGGCGUGAAAGCCCCGGGCUCAACCUGGGAACCGCGCUUGAGACUGGCAUGCUCGAGUUCGGGAGAGGAGCGUGGAAUUCCCAGUGUAGAGGUGAAAUUCGUAGAUAUUGGGAAGAACACCGGUGGCGAAGGCGGCGCUCUGGACCGGGACUGACGCUGAGGCGCGAAAGCGUGGGGAGCAAACAGG